UACGAAGGGGGCUAGCGUUGCUCGGAAUCACUGGGCGUAAAGGGUGCGUAGGCGGGGCUUUAAGUCAGGGGUGAAAUCCUGGAGCUCAACUCCAGAACUGCCUUUGAUACUGAAGAUCUUGAGUUCGGGAGAGGUGAGUGGAACUGCGAGUGUAGAGGUGAAAUUCGUAGAUAUUCGCAAGAACACCAGCGGCGAAGGCGGCUCACUGGCCCGAUACUGACGCUGAGGCACGAAAGCGUGGGGAGCAAACAGG
rnacentral:rRNA from 1 species